rnacentral:rRNA from 1 species
AUUGAACGCUGGCGGCAGGCCUAACACAUGCAAGUCGAGCGGAUGAAGGGAGCUUGCUCCUGGAUUCAGCGGCGGACGGGUGAGUAAUGCCUAGGAAUCUGCCUGGUAGUGGGGAUAACGUCCGGAAACGGGCGCUAAUAACGCAUACGUCCUGAGGGAGAAAGUGGGGGAUCUUCGGACCCCACGCUAUCAGAUGAGCCUAGGUCGGAUUAGCUAGUUGGGGGGGUAAAGGCCUACCAAGGCGACGAUCCGUAACUGGUCUGAGAGGAUGAUCAGUCACACUGGAACUGAGACACGGUCCAGACUCCUACGGGAGGCAGCAGUGGGGAAUAUUGGACAAUGGGCGAAAGCCUGAUCCAGCCAUGUCGCGUGUGUGAAGAAGGUCUUCGGAUUGUAAAGCACUUUAAGUUGGGAGGAAGGGCAGUAAGUUAAUACCUUGCUGUUUUGACGUUACCAACAGAAUAAGCACCGGCUAACUUCGUG